CAAUAGCGUAUAUUAAAGUUGUUGCAGUUAAAAAGCUCGUAGUUGGAUUUCUGGUAGGAGUGACCGUUCCGAACUUGAUUGUUCGUGUAUUGUGUUUUCUCCAGCCAUCCUUGUGGAGAACUUUUCUUGCAUUAAUUUGUAGGGAUUGGGACCCGCAUCGUUUACUGUGAAAAAAUUAGAGUGUUUAAAGCAGGCAAUCGCUUGAAUACAUUAGCAUGGAAUAAUAAGAUAGGACUUUGGCACUAUUUUGUUGGUUUGCAUACCAAAUUAAUGAUCAACAGGAACAGUUUGAGGAUAUUCGUAUGAACAUGUCAGAGGUGAAAUUCUUGGAUUUUGAUCAGACGAACUACUGCGAAAGCAUUUAUCAAGGAUGUUUUCAUUAA
rnacentral:rRNA from 1 species